UAUUCCCUAACGCCGUUAGGGAAUCCGUUUGCUAUGCCUUGGCCAGCGCGUGGGUGCUCAGAAUUUUUUUCUAAAAAUAUGGGGAUGUUCAUGGUGUUGAGUAAAUCACGUUGGUUUAUUCAAACACCCCAUUUGAGUAUUGUAUGAGAAGUUAUUUCCUAGUUUUGUAUAUGUGCUUUAAAUGACUUUUAUUCAGUUAUUUCGCAUAUAGGUGAGACUUAUC
rnacentral:lncRNA from 1 species